rnacentral:sRNA from 1 species
GCCAGGUGUGGUGGUGCAUGCCGGUAAUCCCAGCUACUUGGAGGCUGAGGCAGGAAAAUAGCUUGAACCCAGGAGGUGGAGGUUGCAGUGAGCCGAGACUGUGCCACUGCGCUCCAGCCUGGCAACAGAGCGAGACUCUGUCUCAAAAAAAAAAAGAAAAAAGAAAAACAGAAAAAGUUUUAAAAGUUUGUUUUUGUUUGUUUGAGACAGUCUCGCUCUGUUGCCCAGGCGGCAGUGCAGUGGUGCAAUCUCGGCUCACUGCACCACCUCCCGGGUUCAAACAAUUCUCCUGCCUCA